UUUAUGGAGAGUUUGAUCCUGGCUCAGGAUGAACGCUGGCGGCGUGCCUAAUACAUGCAAGUCGAGCGAACGGACGAGAAGCUUGCUUCUCUGAUGUUAGCGGCGGACGGGUGAGUAACACGUGGAUAACCUACCUAUAAGACUGGGAUAACUUCGGGAAACCGGAGCUAAUACCGGAUAAUAUUUUGAACCGCAUGGUUCAAAAGUGAAAGACGGUCUUGCUGUCACUUAUAGAUGGAUCCGCGCUGCAUUAGCUAGUUGGUAAGGUAACGGCUUACCAAGGCAACGAUGCAUAGCCGACCUGAGAGGGUGAUCGGCCACACUGGAACUGAGACACGGUCCAGACUCCUACGGGAGGCAGCAGUAGGGAAUCUUCCGCAAUGGGCGAAAGCCUGACGGAGCAACGCCGCGUGAGUGAUGAAGGUCUUCGGAUCGUAAAACUCUGUUAUUAGGGAAGAACAUAUGUGUAAGUAACUGUGCACAUCUUGACGGUACCUAAUCAGAAAGCCACGGCUAACUACGUGCCAGCAGCCGCGGUAAUACGUAGGUGGCAAGCGUUAUCCGGAAUUAUUGGGCGUAAAGCGCGCGUAGGCGGUUUUUUAAGUCUGAUGUGAAAGCCCACGGCUCAACCGUGGAGGGUCAUUGGAAACUGGAAAACUUGAGUGCAGAAGAGGAAAGUGGAAUUCCAUGUGUAGCGGUGAAAUGCGCAGAGAUAUGGAGGAACAC
rnacentral:rRNA from 1 species